AAAAGCAAAUAAGGGCGUAUGGCGGAUGCCUAGGCUCACGGAGGCGAUGAAGGACGUGAUAAGCUGCGAUAAGCCGCGGUAAGGUGCAAAUGACCCUUGACCCGCGGAUUUCCGAAUGGGACAACCCGGCCGCCAUAAGGCGGUCAUCAUGACAAAGGUCAUGAGGCGAACGCGGGGAACUGAAACAUCUUAGUACCCGCAGGAAGAGAAAAUAAACAAUGAUUCCCCCAGUAGUGGCGAGCGACCGGGGAAGAGCCCAAACCGGAGGCGUCAAGGCGCUUCCGGGGUUGUAGGACCGCGCUGUUGCAAUGGAGAGACGAGCGUGACCGUCUGGAAAGUCGGGCCGUAGCGGGUGAGAGCCCCCUGCGCGAAGAAUCUUCAUGCAUAGCGGUAUCCUGAGUAACGCGGGACACGAGGAAUCCUGCGCGAAUCGGCCGGGACCAUCCGGCAAGGCUAAAUACUCCCGUGAGACCGAUAGUGGACCAGUACCGUGAGGGAAAGGUGAAAAGAACUCCGACGAGGAGAGUGAAACAGCCCCUGAAACCAUACGCCUACAAGCGGUCGGAGCAUGCGAUGCAUGUGACGGCGUGCCUUUUGCAUAAUGAACCUACGAGUUGCCGUCACGGGCAAGGUUAAGCGCCUAAGGCGCCGAGCCGCAGUGAAAGCGAGCCUGAAAAGGGCGUACAGUCCGUGGAGGCAGACGCGAAACCGAGUGAUCUACACUUGUCCAGGAUGAAGUCCCGGUAACACGGGAUGGAGGUCCGCACCGAUAAGCGUUGAAAAGCUUCCGGAUGAGGUGAGUGUAGGAGUGAAAGGCCAAUCAAACUCGGAGAUAGCUCGUACUCCCCGAAAUGCAUUUAGGUGCAGCGUUCCGCGAUAGCGUCAAGAGGUAGAGCGACCGAUAGGAUGCGAGGGCUUCACCGCCUAUCAAGUCCUGACGAACUCCGAAUGCUUGACGCCGGCAGCGGGGCAGCAAGGGGGCGGGUGCUAAGGUCCGUCCCCGAGAGGAGAAGAAUCCAGACCGCCGUCUAAGGUCCCGGAAUUCUGCCUGAGUUAGUCUAACGAAGUGAGGUCCCUGAGACAGCCAGGAUGUUGGCUUGGAAGCAGCCAUUCAUUCAAAGAGUGCGUAACAGCUCACUGGUCGAGGGUCCUUGCAUGGAUAAUAAUCGGGUAUAAGGCAGAUACCGAAGGCGCGGGAUAGUAAUAAUAAAAGUAUCGGUAGGGGAGCAUUCCAUGUGCGUCGAAUGUCAGAGGUGACUUUGGCUGGAGCGCAUGGAAAAGCAAAUGUAGGUAUAAGUAACGACAAGGAGGGCGAGAACCCCUCCCGCCGCAAGACCAAGGUUUCCCGGGCAAUGCCAGUCAUCCCGGGGUAAGUCGGGUCCUAAGUCUAAGCCGAAGGGCGAAGGCGAUGGCAGAAACGGUUAAUAUUCCGUUACUGCCUGUGCGAGCGAUGUGGAGACGGAGAAGUGACACCGCCGCGGGGUGACGGAAAUCCCCGUUGAAGGGCGUAGGCGCUGAGGAAUCCAGGCAAAUCCGGGUUCCGAGCCGACCCUGACAGUACUCCGGCGCCUCCGGGCAACGGAGAGAGCGCGGGUAAUCAUGCUCCCGAGAAAAUCCGCUAAGCAAUCGCGCAGGCACCCGUACCGCAAACGGACACACGUAGUCGGGUAGAAUAUACUAAGGCGUUGAGAGACUCAUGGUUAAGGAACUAGGCAAACUGACCCCGUAACUUCGGGAUAAGGGGUCCUCACGUAGAGUGAGGCGCAGAGAAUAGGUCCAGGCAACUGUUUAACAAAAACACAGGGCUGUGCGAACUCGAAAGAUGAAGUAUACAGCCUGACACCUGCCCGGUGCCGGAAGGUUAAGAGGAGAGCUCAGGAGCGAUCCGAAGGUUUGAAUUGAAGCCCCGGUAAACGGCGGCCGUAACUAUAACGGUCCUAAGGUAGCGAAAUUCCUUGUCGGGUAAGUUCCGACCUGCACGAAUGGUG
rnacentral:rRNA from 1 species